GGUCCUCUGAACAGUACAGUUUGGGGGUCCUUGUUUUCAAACUUUAUAUAAAUGGAACUGCAUUAUAUAUAUAUAUCUUGUGGCUUUUGCUCAAUAUGUUUAUGAGAUUUGACCGUGGUGAUAUUUGUACCUAUAGCUUGUUCAUUUCACUGCUGUUGAAUAUUCCAUGAAUGAACAAGCAUAAUUUAUCCAAUUAUUGAUGGACAUUGGGUUGCUUCGAGAUACAAGUUUCUCCGGGAUAAAUAUAUCGAGGAGUGGGAUUGUGGGCACGUUACAGCUGAGGAGGUUAGUAGUGGUGUGUCAUGGUGGUUCUUAUUUCCCUGAUUUCUACUGACGAUGAACAACUUUUCCAUUGGAUAUUCUGUUUUGUGAAGUGGCUUCUAAAGUCCUUUGCUCAUUUUUUUAAAUAGGGUUUCCUAAUAAUGUAAUGUUGAGAUAGGAGAUCAGCAGAACUUGUUUUCCAAGCACUGGUCAAGACCUUGGUCAUGAUCCCGCUGAUCAAAACAGAAUCUGGUCGGAACAGGAUGCAGUGAAGAAAUCAGCUGAAACCAGCUGGAACCAAGAUGGCAACAAAAGUGACCUCACUUUUGUCCCUCACUGCUCAUUAUAUGCUAGUGAUAAUGCAUGCUAAAAGACAUUCCCACCAGCACCAUGACAGUUUACACAUGCCACGGCAAUACCCAAAAGUUAUCUUAUGUGAUUUAAAAGGGGGAGGAACCCUCAGUUCCAGGAACUCCGGAUCCCUUUGCUAGAAAAUUCAUGAAUAACCUGCCCCUUAUUUAGCAUAUAAUAAGAAGUAGCUAUACAUAUAGAUAGCUGGUAGUCCAGGAGUGCUGCUCUGCCUAUGGGGUAGCCCUGUAAACCCCAUCCACCUGUAUGGAUGCUCUAUGAAACCCACUUUUCUGUACUCUGUUGCUCUAAUAAACUUGCUUUGCUUUCACUCUUUUCUGUUGGGUCACUCUCAAAUUAUUUCCUGUGCAAAGCCAAGAACGCUCUCAGGCUGAGCCCCAGUUUUGGGGCUCACUUGCAUUAAGAUAAGUUGCAGAAAUUGUAGCAUGUCUUUCAUUCUUACGGUGUCUCACUAAUAGUGUGUCAAUCUUUCCUUAUUGUAUGUACUCAUUUUAUCUUACUUAAAUCAUAAAGAUGAUAUUCUUCUACACCAUCUUUUAAGAUCUUUGUGGCCUUUUCUUUAUGGCUGUAAUCUAUGUAGAACUGACUUUUGUGUGGGAGUUAAAUAGGAGCCCAGUUUGAUGUUUCUCCUUACAUGGUAGCCAGCUGCCCAGCACCCCUAGUUGAAUGAGUUCUUCUUUUCAUGUGGAUUUCAAUGCUCCCCCAGUCUGAUAUUGUGUCCAUGUGUGUGGAGAGGUCUGUUUCUGGAUUGCUCUUUUUUCCAUUGGUCUGUUGUCUGCCAUGUUCUGAUUCCACUUUGCCUUAAUUGUGUAGCUUGAUCAUGUGUCUUAACAUUGAAAAAGCAAAUCCUCACACCUUGCCUUCUACAAGAAAAUGUUUUGACUCUUCUUGGUCAUUUAGAGUCUCAUAUAAAUGUUAGAAUUAGGUUGUCAAUUCCCAUAGAAAAAUCUGUUAGAAUUUUGAUUGGGACUGUGCUGAAUCAUCAACCAGACAGAACUGUUACGAGCACAAUAUUGCCUCCAGUACAGAGAUGCUGAGACCAACUCGAUCGGGGAGACCCUAACCCAGCGGCGCUAGAGGAAUUAAAGACACACACACAGAAAUAUAGAGGUGUGAAGUGGGAAAUCAGGGGUCUCACAGCCUUCAGAGCUGAGAGCCCCAAACAGAGAUUUACCCACGUAUUUAUUAACAGCAAGCCAGUCAUUAGCAUUGAUAGAUAUUAGAUUAACUAAAAGUAUACCUUAUGGGAAACAAAGGGAUGGGCUAAAAUAAAGGGAUGGGUUGGGCUAGUUAUCUGCAGCAGGAACAUGUCCUUAAGGCACAGAUCACUCAUGCUAUUGUUUGUAGUUUAAGAAUGCCUUUAAGCAGUUUUCCGCCCUGGGUGGGCCAGGUGUUCCUUGCCCUCAUUCUGGUAAACCGACAACCUUCCAGCAUGGGUGUUAUGGCCAUCAUGAACAUGUCACAGUGCUGCAGAGAUAUUGUUUAUGGCCGGUUUUGGGGCCAGUUUAUGGCCAGAUUUUGGGGGGCCUGUUCCCAACACAGAGACAUGGUCAGUCUCUUCAUUUAUUUAGUUCUCCAAUAACGUUCAGGGUGUUAGUUUUCUCUGUAGAGGUUCUCUGUAGAGUACAUCUUGGAUUUGUUUCUAGGUACAGGAAACUUUUUAAAAAUAUAUUUUAUAUAGACCAGGGUCUCACCACGUUGCUCAGGCUGGUCUUGAACUCCUGGCCUUGGCAUCCCAAAGUGCUGGGAUUACAGAUGUGAGCUACUGCACCCAGCCAGGAAAUGUAUUUUCUAUUGCUCUCCCACAACUCCCACCACAUCUUCUCCAUCUGCAUGAAAUCAUAUUCUCUGUAUGGUAUCUGUAAAGUCAUAUCUUAUUCUGAGAAAUGUCCAUUUCUGCAUCAAUACUCAUCGCAUGUAUUCUAAAUAUACUUUGUCUUGUUUGUCUUGUAUAUAGGUUAUUGUAGUUACUUGACCUGUGCCGAAAUGUUAAAUGUGUGUAAGUUCAUGUCCUUCAUUCUGGCUUUUUAUUCACUAAUAGUCAUCAGCAUCCUUACUGUCAAUACAAGAGAUGCUCCUUCUCAAUAUUUUGAUAUGGUAGUACAAGGAUUCCAAAGGAGGAACCUUCUUUUUUAGCAGCUGUGUUUUUUGUUUUGGUUGGCAAUUCAC
rnacentral:lncRNA from 1 species